AGCGACAGGCUUAACACAUGCAAGUCGAGGGGCAGCGGGGGUAGCAAUACCCGCCGGCGACCGGCGCACGGGUGAGUAACGCGUAUGCAACUUACCUAUCAGAGGGGGAUAACCCGGCGAAAGUCGGACUAAUACCGCAUGAAGCAGGGAUCCCGCAUGGGAAUAUUUGCUAAAGAUUCAUCGCUGAUAGAUAGGCAUGCGUUCCAUUAGGCAGUUGGCGGGGUAACGGCCCACCAAACCGACGAUGGAUAGGGGUUCUGAGAGGAAGGUCCCCCACAUUGGUACUGAGACACGGACCAAACUCCUACGGGAGGCAGCAGUGAGGAAUAUUGGUCAAUGGCCGAGAGGCUGAACCAGCCAAGUCGCGUGAGGGAUGAAGGUUCUAUGGAUCGUAAACCUCUUUUAUAAGGGAAUAAAGUGCGGGACGUGUCCCGUUUUGUAUGUACCUUAUGAAUAAGGAUCGGCUAACUCCGUGCCAGCAGCCGCGGUAAUACGGAGGAUCCGAGCGUUAUCCGGAUUUAUUGGGUUUAAAGGGUGCGUAGGCGGCCUUUUAAGUCAGCGGUGAAAGUCUGUGGCUCAACCAUAGAAUUGCCGUUGAAACUGGGGGGCUUGAGUAUGUUUGAGGCAGGCGGAAUGCGUGGUGUAGCGGUGAAAUGCAUAGAUAUCACGCAGAACCCCGAUUGCGAAGGCAGCCUGCCAAGCCAUGACUGACGCUGAUGCACGAAAGCGUGGGGAUCAAACAGGAUUAGAUACCCUGGUAGUCCACGCAGUAAACGAUGAUCACUAGCUGUUUGCGAUACACUGUAAGCGGCACAGCGAAAGCGUUAAGUGAUCCACCUGGGGAGUACGCCGGCAACGGUGAAACUCAAAGGAAUUGACGGGGGCCCGCACAAGCGGAGGAACAUGUGGUUUAAUUCGAUGAUACGCGAGGAACCUUACCCGGGUUUGAACGCAUUCGGACCGAGGUGGAAACACCUUUUCUAGCAAUAGCCGUUUGCGAGGUGCUGCAUGGUUGUCGUCAGCUCGUGCCGUGAGGUGUCGGCUUAAGUGCCAUAACGAGCGCAACCCUUGCCACUAGUUACUAACAGGUAAAGCUGAGGACUCUGGUGGGACUGCCAGCGUAAGCUGCGAGGAAGGCGGGGAUGACGUCAAAUCAGCACGGCCCUUACAUCCGGGGCGACACACGUGUUACAAUGGCGUGGACAAAGGGAAGCCACCUGGCGACAGGGAGCGAAUCCCCAAACCACGUCUCAGUUCGGAUCGGAGUCUGCAACCCGACUCCGUGAAGCUGGAUUCGCUAGUAAUCGCGCAUCAGCCAUGGCGCGGUGAAUACGUUCCCGGGCCUUGUACACACCGCCCGUCAAGCCAUGGGAGCCGGGGGUACCUGAAGUCCGUAACCGCAAGGAGCGCCCUAGGGUAAAACUGGUAAUUGGGGCU
rnacentral:rRNA from 1 species